CCUACGGGUGGCAGCAGUGGGGAAUAUUGCACAAUGGGCGCAAGCCUGAUGCAGCCAUGCCGCGUGUGUGAAGAAGGCCUUCGGGUUGUAAAGCACUUUCAGCGGGGAGGAAGGCGUUAAGGUUAAUAACCUUGUCGAUUGACGUUACCCGCAGAAGAAGCACCGGCUAACUCCGUGCCAGCAGCCGCGGUAAUACGGAGGGUGCAAGCGUUAAUCGGAAUUACUGGGCGUAAAGCGCACGCAGGCGGUCUGUCAAGUCGGAUGUGAAAUCCCCGGGCUCAACCUGGGAACUGCAUUCGAAACUGGCAGGCUAGAGUCUUGUAGAGGGGGGUAGAAUUCCAGGUGUAGCGGUGAAAUGCGUAGAGAUCUGGAGGAAUACCGGUGGCGAAGGCAGCCCCCUGGACAAAGACUGACGCUCAGGUGCGAAAGCGUGGGGAGCAAACAGGAUUAGAUACCCGAGUAGUC
rnacentral:rRNA from 1 species